AAAAGGAAGGAAAAGGCCUUGAAAAGGCCCAGGAGCGAUGGGGCUGGGGGCAUGGUUUCCCCUACCCUAAGAAGUCCGAGGAUAAAAAGGCUCAGAAGCAACAGUGAGAGGUUUUGAGUCCCCAUUUCACUCACUGCUUCUUGAGCCCCAUGUUCGGCGCCAAAAAUGUUGCAGGACUUUUCCUUAGUUUAGCUAAAGACAGGGUUCUUGUCUGUCCCACAGCCACACACAUUUAGGCUUGCAGACGAUUUAAAGUGUGAGUAAAGUAGGGUUUAUUGGGUGAAAAGGGAAAAAAAUGAUCCCCUGCUAGAGCACUUCUCACCCAUCAUUCAAAUACUAGAUUUCACACAGGAAAAGGCGGGGCCAGGCUCCUCCCCACUGCAAAGGGCGUGAACUUCCUGAGGCUCCACCUCAGUGGGCAGGCUGGUUGGAGUUUCUCCAGGAACCUCCUCCCACCAGGCUGUCUCAAUAAGACCUUAUUAUUGUCUUUAUUUGAAGAUUAUGUAUGAUCUCAGGAGAUGUGUAUGGGUUCAAGCUGACAAGGGGUGUACUUGUGAUGGUUAAUACUGAGUGUCAACUUGAUUGGAUUGAAGGAUACAUAGUAUUGAUCCUGGGGGUGUCACUGAGGGUGUUGCCAAAGGAGAUUAACAUUUGAGUCAGUGGGCUGGGAAAGGCAGACCCACCCUUAAUCUGGGUGGGCACAAUCUAAUCAACUGCCACUGUGGCUAGAAUAUAAGCAGGAAGAAAAAUGUGAAAAGAGGCCUAACUUCCCAGCCUACAUCUUUCUCUUGUGCUAGAUGCUUCCUGCCCUCAAACAUUGGAGUCCAACUUCUUCAGUUUUGGAACUCAGACUGGCUCUCCUUACUCCUCAGCCUGCAGAUGGCCUAUUGUGGGACCUUGUGAUUGUUGUCUUGCUCUGCCAUGCUGGAGUACAAUGGCAAUCAUGGCUUAACUCAGCCUCAACUUCCUGGACACAACUGAUCCUCCUGCCUCAACCUCCCAAGUAGCUGGAACUACAG
rnacentral:lncRNA from 1 species